UACGGAGGGGGCUAGCGUUGUUCGGAAUUACUGGGCGUAAAGCGCACGUAGGCGGCUUUAUAAGUUAGAGGUGAAAGCCCGGGGCUCAACUCCGGAAUUGCCUUUAAGACUGCAUCGCUCGAAUUGUGGAGAGGUAAGUGGAAUUCCGAGUGUAGAGGUGAAAUUCGUAGAUAUUCGGAAGAACACCAGUGGCGAAGGCGACUUACUGGACACAUAUUGACGCUGAGGUGCGGAAGCGUGGGGAGCAAACAGG
rnacentral:rRNA from 1 species